rnacentral:rRNA from 1 species
CAGUCGCCACGGUAAUACGAAGGUCCCGAGCGUUGUUCGGAAUCACUGGGCGUAAAGGGAGCGUAGGCGGCGUGGUAAGUCAGAUGUGAAAUCCCGGGGCUCAACCCCGGAACUGCAUCCGAUACUGCCAUGCUAGAGGAUUGGAGAGGUAGCUGGAAUUCUUGGUGUAGCAGUGAAAUGCGUGGAGAUCAAGAGGAACACUCGUGGCGAAAGCGAGCUACUGGACAAUAACUGACGCUGAGGCUCGAAGGCCAGGGUAGCGAAAGGGAUUAGAUACCCGAGUAGUCCCUGUCUCUUAUAA